rnacentral:rRNA from 1 species
UACAGAGGUCUCAAGCGUUGUUCGGAUUCACUGGGCGUAAAGGGUGCGUAGGUGGUUAGGUAAGUCCGAUGUGAAAUCUCCAGGCUCAACCUGGAAAUGGCAUUGGAUACUAUCUAGCUUGAGGAGUGGAGGGGGGACUGGAAUUCUCGGUGUAGCAGUGAAAUGCGUAGAUAUCGAGAGGAACACCAGUGGCGAAGGCGAGUCCCUGGACACUUCCUGACACUGAGGCACGAAAGCUAGGGGAGCAAACAGG